rnacentral:rRNA from 1 species
GAUGAACGCUAGCGGCAGGCCUAAUACAUGCAAGUCGAACGGUGUCUUCGGACAUAGUGGCGCACGGGUGCGUAACACGUAUGCAACCUACCUUACAUUGGGGGAUAGCCUUUCGAAAGGGAGAUUAAUACCGCAUAAGACAGUAGCUGGGCAUCCAGCAGCUGUUAAAGAUUUAUCGAUGUAAGCUGGGCAUGCGUCCAAUUAGCUAGUUGGUGAGGUAACGGCUCACCAAGGCAAUGAUUGGUAGGGGAACUGAGAGGUCAAUCCCCCACACUGGCACUGAGAUACGGGCCAGACUCCUACGGGAGGCAGCAGUAGGGAAUAUUGGGCAAUGGACGCAAGUCUGACCCAGCCAUGCCGCGUGCAGGAUGAAGGCGUUAUGCGUUGUAAACUGCUUUUAUACAGGAAGAAACGACUCUUGCGAGAGGCAUUGACGGUACUGUAUGAAUAAGCACCGGCUAACUCCGUGCCAGCCGCCGCCGCAGUAA